ensembl:lncRNA
UGUGCAUUUGGGAUCCCCAAUGGCCAAAGCAAUGGGAGCCCAACUUGGGGUGCUGUGUGCUUCCAAAGGGCCGGACCCCAAACUCAUGUGGGGUUGGGAUCCCCAUAGACCAAAGCAAUGGGACCCCAACUUGGGGUGCUCUGUGGUUCCGAAGGGCCGGACCCCAAACUCAUGUGGGGUUGGGAACCCCAAAGACCGAAGGGGUGGAUCCCAAACUCACAGGGUGUGGGGGUCCCCAAUGGCCAAAGCAAGGGGACCCCAACUUUGGGUGCUCUGUGGUUCCGAAGGGCCGGACCCCAAAAUGAUGUGGGGUUGGGAUCCCCAAUGGCCAAAGCAGUGGGACCCCAACUUGGGGUGCUCUGUGGUUCCUAAGGGCCGGACCCCAAACUCAUGUGUGGUUGGGAACCCCAAAGACCAAAGGGGUGGACCCCAAAUUCACUGUGCAUUGGGAUCCCCAAUGGCCAAAGCAAUGGGAACCCAACUUGGGGUGCUGUGUGGUUCCUAAGGGCCGGACCCCAAACUCAUGUGUGGUUGGGAACCCCAAAGACCAAAGGGGUGGACCCCAAAUUCACUGUGCAUUGGGAUCCCCAAUGACCCCACAGAUGAAUCCCAAACCUGUCGUGAAUUGGGGUCCCCAGUGACCCAACAGAUGGAUCCCAAACCUGUGGUGCUUUAGGAUCCCCAGUGACCCCACAGAUGGAUCCCAAACCCGUAGUGUAUUGGGAUCCCCUA